UGGGGUGUGGCUCAGUGGUAGGGCAUUCGCCUAGCACGUGCAAGGCCCUGGGUUUGAUCCUUAGCACCACAU
rfam:Ictidomys tridecemlineatus contig059819, whole genome shotgun sequence.